rnacentral:rRNA from 1 species
UGGGGAAUUUUGGACAAUGGGCGAAAGCCUGAUCCAGCAAUGCCGCGUGUGUGAAGAAGGCCUUCGGGUUGUAAAGCACUUUUGUCCGGAAAGAAAUCCUUGGCUCUAAUACAGUCGGGGGAUGACGGUACCGGAAGAAUAAGCACCGGCUAACUACGUGCCAGCAGCCGCGGUAAUACGUAGGGUGCAAGCGUUAAUCGGAAUUACUGGGCGUAAAGCGUGCGCAGGCGGUUUGCUAAGACCGAUGUGAAAUCCCCGGGCUCAACCUGGGAACUGCAUUGGUGACUGGCAGGCUAGAGUAUGGCAGAGGGGGGUAGAAUUCCACGUGUAGCAGUGAAAUGCGUAGAGAUGUGGAGGAAUACCGAUGGCGAAGGCAGCCCCCUGGGCCAAUACUGACGCUCAUGCACGAAAGCGUGGGGAGCAAACAGGAUUAGAUACCCUGGUAGUCCACGCCCUAAACGAUGUCAACUAGUUGUUGGGGAUUCAUUUCCUUAGUAACGUAGCUAACGCGUGAAGUUGACCGCCUGGGGGAGUACGGUCG